UGUAACUAAUCAUGUAACAGUCUUUAAAAACAGGGAAAACAUGGAAGUGUUUGGUGGCUUCUAAAUAAUUCCCUGUUUGGAUCCUAAGGAAUGAAUGGUGCUAAGCUAAUCGCUAACAUAGCGGUGCCGCACACUACAGAAAUUAAGUGCAUGCGCUGAGACAGGAGAGGUUGUUCCAAUGCUCCUUACCAAUGGGUGAUUACUGCGCCAUACCUCACGCUACAACUAGAUUAAAGAAUUUGAUCAUGCAAAUGCUCAUUUCAGGGCAAUAAGUUUUUGUGUUGCAGGACUAGUUUGAUUAUUGUUACUUUAUUUUUAUUGUGGUGAAUUGCUAAGUUUUUGUAUACGGUGAAUUUGUAAAAUUUUAUAUAGUUUUCUCUUUUCUUCAAGUAACAAAGUAUCCUCUUAACACCUCAAUGGUCUUUCCUGCAAGUGUACUACACAUCAGUGCAAUUUCUGGCCAGAGGGAAAAUCUAUCUGUUACUAUGUUACAACUCAUGGUGGUCUAAUUCUGUGAGGAAAAUGCUGGUGUACUGUUAUUCUCUGACAUUUCUUCAGGGCACACUUCAGAAUAGGGCUGAAAGGAGAAAAAAGAUUGACCAGCUGCAACUGCUACAUCAACAAGAUGGCGUCUGCACACAACAGAAAUCAUGUUUCUAUGUGUCAUCUUUUGCUUCAUUUAGGUG